rnacentral:lncRNA from 1 species
UUCUUCUUCUUCUUCUUCUUCUUCUUCUUCUUCUUCUUCUUCUUCUUCUUCUUCUUCUUCUUCUUCUUCUUCUUCUUCUUCUUCUUCACCAGGAGUCAGCAACCUUUACUCUCAAAGGAACCAUUUAACCUCAUCUCACCUGGAUUAAAGUCCUCCAGGAGCCAAAAAACAAACACCUUCUCAAUGAAGACAUGUGGUAUAUUAUAUGGUAUUUUACCAGAUUAGAGUCUGUAUCAAGAGGGAAAGGUCUUUUGGAACUAUAUCGUGUUUUCAAAAUAAAAGAUGUCACUCUCCUGCAGGUGGCUGAUCACGUGACUUGUUUUGUUAUGUUUCCGUGUGACAGAAGUCACAUUUGUAAUCAAAAUCUAAUUUGAAUCUUUCUAAUGUUUUUAUUUUUAUUUCUUCGUCUUCGUCUUCGUCUUCUCCACUCACAAUAAUAAUUGAUGGGGGAUUUUUAGUAGAGUUGAGCAUAACAAAGGCCUAAUAUGUAAUUUUACUUGACAUGUUGAUGCUCAUACUGUUAUUGCGGAGAGGCGUGUUCACUGAGUGUUUUUAUAGUGUAAUUCUACGCCUGUCCUGCAGGUGUCAGUGUCGCCACUUCACUGAUAAACGAUGCAGUUAAGCUACUACAGCAGUUAGCAACCGUGAGUGUAGCAUUUAUCGGUUUAUUGACGUAACAUUUCAUUUGUUUUCAUGGUGUUGGAUCAAAUGUCAUGUUUUGAGUAACUGCUGACUGGUUUAACUGGAGCUAAUGAAAUAAUGAGCUCUUUGGUUGGUUACGGAGUGUCUUCGGACUCUGACAGCGACAAACAGGACGAGAGAAACGACGAACCUCAGUCUGCCAAAGAGGUUGUAGACGAGAAACAAACGCCGCAAAAACCACGCAACUUUUGGCUUGACCCUGACUCAGCAUCUAGUGAUUCAGAGGAGGAACCAGAGCCUUCAUCAACACCUCAACCUCUGGGGGUUCCAACCCCGCGCCCUCGUUCUUCUGCUUCCAAUAAGCUCCCCUCUCCACCUUUCAAAGCCUGUUCAAACAACAGUGUGUUUUCCAACCCUUUCAAAGCUCAGGCAGACCAGACACUCAAUGUCCUGCAGAAACACGUUCCCCUCACCAUGCAGGCCAAACCCUCCCAAAUCGGCGGCAAAAAGAUGUGCGUGUCCUACAGGAGAGACGGGAGGUGCAGGUUUGGGAUCAAAUGCAAGUUUGCACAUGACAGUGACCUCCAGAACCCCAACACUACCACUGCCUCUCACCUGUCUGUGAGUGAGCAGGGAUCAGAGCAAAAUCUGGAUGUGGGAGGAUCUCGGAGUUCCCAGGUGGAGGCUAAAGAGGAUGGAUCAGAUAGUCAGCACAUGAAAAAGAAAAGAGUUGGACUGAGUGACACUUUGGUUCCUCCUAAAAAAGCCAUGAAACAGUUUGCUAUGCAGAGGCAGAGGGAGAAGCUCCACAUGUCCUGA